CCCGGCGAGGGGAGUGAAAAAGAACCUGAAACCGUGUACGUACAAGCAGUGGGAGCCCCACCACUAAGCCAGUGGUGAACUCCACAUCCGCAUCCUUUGCUGAGGAUACGGUUAACGGAGCGAAAGCGACGUUCAACCGCAAAACAAGCAGAGGGGGCUUAGUGGUGGGGUGACUGCGUACCUUUUGUAUAAUGGGUCAGCGACUUAUAUUCUGUAGCAAGGUUAACCGAAUAGGGGAGCCGGAGGGAAACCGAGUCUUAAUUGGGCGUUAAGUUGCAGGGUAUAGACCCGAAACCCGGUGAUCUAGCCAUGGGCAGGUUGAAGGUUGGGUAACACUAACUGGAGGACCGAACCGACUAAUGUUGAAAAAUUAGCGGAUGACCUGUGGCUGGGGGUGAAAGGCCAAUCAAACCGGGAGAUAGCUGGUUCUCCCCGAAAGCUAUUUAGGUAGCGCCUCGUGAAUUCAUCUCCGGGGGUAGAGCACUGUUUCGGCUAGGGGGCCAUCCCGGCUUACCAACCCGAUGCAAACUGCGAAUACCGGAGAAUGUUAUCACGGGAGACACACGGCGGGUGCUAACGUCCGUCGUGAAGAGGGAAACAACCCAGACCGCCAGCUAAGGUCCCAAAGUCAUGGUUAAGUGGGAAACGAUGUGGGAAGGCCCAGACAGCCAGGAUGUUGGCUUAGAAGCAGCCAUCAUUUAAAGAAAGCGUAAUAGCUCACUGGUCGAGUCGGCCUGCGCGGAAGAUGUAACGGGGCUAAACCAUGCACCGAAGCUGCGGCAGCGAACGUAUCACCCAAGACAACUUUACGGAGUUGACGAUUGACGGAGCGAAGCGACGUCAAAGCGUUCAUUAAAGUCGAGUUGGCUUAGGGAUACGUUCGUUGGGUAGGGGAGCGUUCUGUAAGCCUGUGAAGGUGUGUCGUGAGGCAUGCUGGAGGUAUCAGAAGUGCGAAUGCUGACAUAAGUAACGAUAAAGCGGGUGAAAAGCCCGCUCGCCGGAAGACCAAGGGUUCCUGUCCAACGUUAAUCGGGGCAGGGUGAGUCGACCCCUAAGGCGAGGCCGAAAGGCGUAGUCGAUGGGAAACGGGUUAAUAUUCCCGUACUUGGUGUUACUGCGAAGGGGGGACGGAGAAGGCUAUGUUGGCCGGGCGACGGUUGUCCCGGUUUAAGCGUGUAGGUGUGUGUUCCAGGUAAAUCCGGUUCACUUUAACACUGAGGCGUGACGACGAGGCACUACGGUGCUGAAGCAACAAAUGCCCUGCUUCCAGGAAAAGCCUCUAAGCAU
rnacentral:rRNA from 1 species